UCCGUAGGUGAACCUGCGGUUGGAUCAUUACAAAACUUUGCUUUUUUCUUCUUUUGUUAAUCGCUUUUUGAGGCUUUUUGGCUUUUAUCUGCGUUAAUAAAAGGAAGAAAAAAACUUACCCACCUUUUGUGAACUUUGUAUACCUGUAUCGUUGGCGUGGCUCACCCCAAAAGGCCUUCGUUUUUUUUAUUAAAAAAGAGGACCCGGGCCACGUUAAACAUCAUGUUAAAAACACCGUUAUCCUUUUUUUAAUUUUUUUAUAAAGAUGCAGUAGUCGAAAGGCUCGGCGUCGAAACUAGUUUAAAUGCAAACAACUUUUGACAACGGAUCUCUAGGCUCUCGCAACGAUGAAGAACGUAGCGAAUUGCGAUAAGUAAUGUGAAUUGCAGAAUUUAGUGAAUCAUCGAAUCUUUGAACGCAUAUUGCGCUUUCUGGUAUUCCGGAGAGCAUGCCUGUUUCAGAACCGUUUUACCCUCACAAACCCCACUCUUUUAACUUGUUUAAAGGCGUGGGCAAGUGGAUAUGAGAGUUUUCCGUGCGCUAAUUGAAAGAUAAGCCGCGGUCUCUUGAAAGUAAAUGUCGGUUUGCUCUUUUUAAAGCUCGCCCUUCGACAUAAAAGACGUGAUGAUGUGGGUUAACCACUUUUAAAGCGUCGAAAGAAGGGAAAUGAGGAUUUAAAGGCUUAACGAUUCCUGUAAUCGCACAAGGGUAAUUUUUACCUGAAUGCGUGGAUUUGCCAGGCGUCCUUUUUUUUUAAAAAGGGCGAAAACCUGAACUUUUGGUCUGAAAUCAAGCAAGAGAACCCGCUGAACUUAAGCAUAUCAAUAAGCGGAGGA
rnacentral:rRNA from 1 species